AAGAGGAAGAAGAAGAGGAAGAAGAAGAAGAAGAAGAAGCAGCAGCUGCUGCUGCUGCUAUACGCUCUCGCGAGAGUUUCCGCAGCACAUGUUUCAACGAGCCAGUGGAGGAGUCCGACGCUUCGUGUACGAGCACGUCGUUACAGAUGAGCUCAUGAAAUCAAAAUUCAAUUAAUUGUUUUAAUGCUUUCAAAAACUACAUUGUCAAUUUAGCGGAGGUUUAUCCAUGCCAUGCACAAAAAGCAAAGUAGGUCAUACAGGCUUGGAACAAUAUGAGGGUGAGUAAUGAUGACACAAUUUUCAUUUUUGUGUGAAUGUACUACUGGUUGCUGUAAAAGUACUUUAGUCAUGGUGCGCCCCCUAUCUGUGGAUGAAUGGUACCUACAUAGGCGUGACACCAAAGAGAUUGGAAUUUUGGUUUAAAAUGUGCACUGUUACUCACAAACCAUCAGACUUAAAAGAAGUCUGUCGCACACUGAUGAUGGUUGCUGCCUCACAAUAACGGUCCCUGAUUUGAUCCUGAGCUCACGUUACCAUCUGUGUGAAGUUUCAGAUGAUGUCCCCUUGUCUGCAUGGGUUUGGUCUGGUUUCUCCUGUUUCCACCCACCUCACACAAACAUACCAAUAGGCAGACAGGUUACACAAUAUAUACACACACUAUAUAUCACUAUAUCAGAUCAGCAAUUAGAAUGUUUUUAGUCCCCUUCGAGAGACUGAACUAAUUUCACUAAUUUCCUCAUCAAAAUCAUCAACUUGUGUACUAGAUCCCUUACCUACAUGGUUCUUCAAUCAGAUUAGCAAUCUUCUAAAAAUAAUCAGUUCUUCCAUUAGCACUGGCUAUGUAUGUAAAUCUUCUAAACUAGUAGUUAUCAAAUCCAUGAAUUAAAAAACCUGACCUCCACCUCUGUCGGCUGUCCAAGAUCCUAGAAAAAGGUUGUAGCAAAGCAGUUAUGCUCAUACCACAUAGGAAUAACAUUUAUGAAAUGUAUCAGUCAGGAUUUAAGCCUCAUCAUAGCACAGACAGCACUGGUUAAAGUGGUAAAUGACGUACUACUGGUCUUUGAUCAGGACUGUGUCUCCUUGCUUGUGUUGCUUGAACUUAGUGCAGCUUUUGACACCAUCGAUCAUGCUAUUCUCCUUGAUAGACUAGAAAAUGUUGUUGAAGUUAAGGGAACGGCCCUCUCCUGGCUCAGGUCUUAUUUGACUGAUCGUUCUCUAAGCAUACUAAGGUAAAGUUUGGUGUUCCACAAAGUUCUGUUUUAGGCCCACUGCUUUUUUCUUUAUAUAUGCUACCUCUGGAUAAAAUUAUUCGUAAACAUGGUAUUAGCUUCCAAUGUUAUGUUGAUGACACAGUUGUAUGUUUCAGCAAAGCCAGAUGAGAGACAACCAGCUUAAUAAAGUUGAGGAAUGUGUAAAGGACAUUAGACAAUGGAUGCUUAGUAACUUCCUUCUACAUUUAAUUCUGACAAGAAGUACGUGUACUAGGACCACAUACACUUAGAAGUAAGCUUUCUGACUACAUAGUAACUCUGGAUGGCCUUUCAUCAAGUGCAGCAGUAAAAGACCUUGGUGUGAUUAUUGACUCCAGUCUUUCAUUUGGAGCUCUUGUAGAUAAUAUUACUAGAAUAGCCUUCUUUCAUCUCAGAAAUAUUGCCAAGGUAACAAAUAUAAUGUCACAACAUGAUGCAGAAAAACUAGUUCAUGCGUUUGUUACCUCUAGGUUGGAAUAUUGUAAUGCCUUACUGUCUGGAUGUUCCACUAGGUGCAUAAACAAGCUCCAGCUAGUCCAGAAUGCAGCAGUGAGAAUCCUUACUACAACCAGAAGAUAUGACUACAUCACCCCUAUCUGAUCCACACUGCAUUUGUCUCCAGAAUUAGUGUUUGGGACUCAGACACAGUCUCAGUGUUUAAGUCUAGGCUGAAAACAUUUAUUUAGUUAAGCCUUUUGUGAAUAGUUUUUUCUUAGGCAAAGGAGCAGAUCUAGAGGGUUCACGGGCAUAGAGUGGUGAACUGGGAUUUUUGGAUGCUGUUGCGUCUCCCACGUUCACUCAUGUUUGUUGAAGGUGGAGUGGCUGGCUGGUUUAUGACCCAAGGCACCCUUGUGUCUGUGUUGCUUUCUGGCUCUCCCUUUUGUUAUGCUGUCAUAGCUAGUCUUGCCUGAGUCCUUGCUUGCACUUUGCACACAAUGUACAUUGUCCUUAACGAUUACUUGACAAUAAGAAUACCUAAUAAUCUGUGUUUCUCUCUUUCUCUCUCUCUCUCUCUGUCGAGCUACACAUUCUACUCCUGAGAUAUCAUUGAUCCUGACCCCUUCUGCUCUCUGGACCUGCCUGAUCUGGCCUGAUGCCUUACUUCUGAUUGGAGUUCUCAUCACUUGGAAACCACUUGCUGCUGCUGAGGAUAGCCCCAUAUGGACAGCCUAAAGAUACAUGAGAUUACUGUGGAUGGUACCACUUAGAAACCAUGAAGAUGGCUUCGGACUGCAAUUGAUACAGUUUUGCUAUGAUGGCUGUGCAGGUUGGUCCAUUUCAGACUAACGUCUGGGCCUUCCUACUCUGCUUCAGCUGCUGCUUCAUCAGCCUUGUGUUGCCACUUCUGACCCAGAAUGAUGUCAUCAAUGGGCAACAGUAUUUAGAAGUGAUGAAAACCAAUGCCCCCAGCUUUGAAUUGUCUGUGCUCACCCGAUUGCAUUUGUGGUUGUACUCGUUAAUCCAUUCUGUGCUUUUGUUGUGUAUUUCUGGUUUCGAACGGUGUCUAUCCUGACUGUGAGCUUGAUCUGUCCCUUGGUUAUUGUCUGCUGCCUAGGUUUGUAAAUAGUCACACUGCUGUAUUUUUUUUUGUAAAUAUCGACAUAUUGUAUAUAUUCACCGGGAGUAGUGGUGCAGCUGCUAUUUCUGUUGGGUGUUAACAAAAAUAUUGCAUUAAUGUUUAAGAAUUACAGCCAUUUUUUUUCUAUAACAGAGUCCCUCCAUUUUCACAGACACAAAAGUAAUUGGACAUAUUAAUAUAAUCAUAAAUAUUAUGAUUAUUUUUAAUACUUAAAAGGAAUGCAGAUCCUUUGCAGUCAAUAACUACAUGAAGUCUGAAAUCUGUGGACAUUUAAGAACAUUUAAUUUCUUUUCUUUGAAUCCUUUCCUUUUCCAUACUCUUCUCUUCCCAUCAUUCUGGUACAAGUGAAUCUUGUAUCAGAACUGUUCAGUUUUUUUUUUAAAGCAAAAUCUAAUCUGGCCUUUCUGUUCUUGAGUGUAGUUUCUUGAACACUACUGUUCUUGAACAGUAGUUUGUAUCUUGAGGUAAACUGUCUGUAUUUACAUUCAUGAAGUCUUGAUUAUAGACUUUGCUAUGCCUACCUCCUCCAGAGUGUCCUUGAAUUGGCUAGAUGUUGUGAAUGGUUUUUCUUCAACAAGGAAAGAAUUCGGCGACCAUCCGCUUUAGUUGUCUUCCGUGGCCUUUUGGUGUUCCUGAUGUUAUACACUCACUGUCCACUUUAAUAGGAACACCUGUACAUCUGCACAUUCAUGCAGUUAUCCAAUCCGCCGAUCAUGUGGCAGCAGCACAAUGCAUAAAAUCAUGCAAAUACAGGUCAGCAGCUUCAGUUAAUAUUCACAUCAAGCAUCAGAAUGGGGAAAAAUGUGAUCUCUGACUUUAACCAUGGCUUGGUUGUUGGUGCCAGGUCGACCAGUUCAGAAACUUCAGAAACUUCAGAAACUGCUGAUCUCCUGGGAUUUUCACACACAACAGUCUCUAGUAUUUACACAGAAUGGUAUGAAAAACAAAAAACAGGAGUAAAAAACAGGAGGGUCUGCAGGCUGAAGCACCGUUGAAGAGAGAGAUCAGAGGAGAAUGACCAGACUGGUUUGAGCUGACAGGAAGUAUAUACAAGCAUCUGAGGCUAUCAUGGACACAGACUUGCUGAAACUGGACAGUUGAAGACUGGAAAAAGACUAGGUGAUUUAUUUAUUUAUUUUCCCCUAAACUUUAACUGUCCAGUUUCAGUGAAUCUGUGCCCAUGAUAGCCUCGGAUUCCUGUUCUCGGCUGAUAGGAAUGGAACCCAAUGUGGUCUUCUGCUGUUGUAGCCCAUCCAUCUCAAGGUUGAUGUUUUGUGCAUGCUGAGAUGCUUUUGUGCUUACCACAGUUGUAAAGAAUGAUUAUUUGUGUUACUAUAUCCUUCCUGGCAGCUCGAACCAAUCUGGCCAUUUUCUUCUGACCUCUCUUGUAAACAAGGUGUUUCUACCCACUGCGCUGUCACUCAUUCAGUGUUUUUUGUUUUUUCCACCAUUCUGUGUAAAAUCUAGGGACUGUUGUGUGUGAAAUUUGGAGGAGAUCUGCAGUUUCUGAAAUACUCAAACCAGUCUUCUGGUACUAACAUCCAUGCCACGAUCAGAGUCACAGAGAUCACACUUUUUCUUCACUCUGAUGUUUGACAUGAAUAUCAACUGAAGCGCUUGACCUGUAUCUGCAUGAUUUUUUGCAUUGUGCUGCUGCCACAUGAUUGGCAGAUUUCAUAGCUCAGGCCAAGUCAAUUGUCUGAUCUCAACCCAAUAGAGCAUGCUUUUCACUUACUGAAGAUAAGGCUGAAGGCAGAAAGACCCACAAACAAGCAGCAACUGAAGGUGGCUCCAGUGAAGGCCUGGCAAAGCAUCUCCAGGGAGGAAACUCAGUGGAAACUUGAUGUCCAUGGGCUCCAGACUUCAAGCAGCCAUUGACUGCAAAGGAUUUUCAGUUUUUCAUUUUCACAAGUAUUAAAAUUGUGGUUAUAUUUACAAUGAUGUCACUUUGUCCAAAUACCUUUGAGCCCCUGAAAAUGGAGGCACUUUGAUGAAAAUGGCUGUAGUUCCUGAAUGGUAAAUGCCAUAUUUUUGUGGAACCUCUUAAAAUAAAACUGUAAGUCUACACUUCGAUCUCA